GGGGAUGACAGGAUUCGAUACAUGGAUUCAUGUUGCCUCUCAUAUGCAUGUCGAGGCGGUCUAGCCCUCGUAAAUCACUCUAGACAAUCUACAAGUGCAAACCUUGUAAGUCGAGUAAAGGCCGUAUUUGCUAACGCAUUUACAAUGCCAACACUCGCAACUGCUGUCGCUUAAGUGCCCCAGCCAUCAUAACUUCGAUACUCAAUAGAAGAGCUAUGGUGUAAACUAAUUGAGCGUAGGCCUAGAGCAUCUCCUGUUGUUCUAGUCUGAAAUAAUUCAGGAUUAGUAUCUACUUAUUUUGUUGCUUUUUCAGGUAGAUAUGAAACAACAAAGCAACUGAACAUGAAGAUUAUGAAGACAACCUGUGUAGACCCGGGUUCAACUCCCGGCAUCUCCACUU
rnacentral:tmRNA from 1 species